GUGCUUGCUUCGGCAGCACAUACACUAAAAUUGGAAUGCUACAGAGAUUAGCAUGGCCCGUGCAAAAGGAUGACACACAAAUUCGUGAAGCAUUCCUUUUUUUU